UUUCAAUUGUUUUUAAAUUGGACCUAUGUUGUUUUUCAGAUUCCAUUCAAACUUGAUUUUCGAGCAAUGGAUAUUGAACAGUGAAGAAAUGUUGGUGACAUUAAAUUACCAAGAAGGGUAAUUGGUCUAUAAAUGUGUUACGAUGAUAUGAUAACUACAACAAAGCCAAAAACUGUCUAGUCUUUUUCACGAAAAUGGAAAAACAAUGGUCACAUGCAUUCAUCACCGUGUAUACUAAUGUCAUUUUCUUGUUC
rnacentral:lncRNA from 1 species